GUGAAUCAUCAAAUUUUUGAACGCAAAUUGCACUCUCCUCGGAGAGUAUGCCUGUUUGAGGGUUAGCGUAUAAAAAAUCGACAUGGUUGCUGUUGCGUGGUGGCGUUCGUCGGAUAUUGGGUCAUUUUAAAUCUUUUGGUUUUAAGAGACUUAAAAUUUUCUUUUUGGUUCCAUGAACGUUUCUAAGAUUUAUUUCUUUACACGCCUAAGGUU
rnacentral:misc_RNA from 1 species